GAUGAAGAACGUAGCAAAAUGCGAUAAGUAAUGUGAAUUGCAGAAUUCAGUGAAUCAUCGAAUCUUUGAACGCACAUUGCGCCCGCCAGUAUUCUGGCGGGCAUGCCUGUUCGAGCGUCAUUUCAACCCUCAAGCACAGCUUGGUGUUGGGACUCGCGUUAAUUCGCGUUCCCCAAAUUGAUUGGCGGUCACGUCGAGCUUCCAUAGCGUAGUAGUAAAACCCUCGUUACUGGUAAUCGUCGCGGCCACGCCGUUAAACCCCAGCUUCUGAAUGUUGACCUCGGAUCAGGUAGGAAUACCCGCUGAACUUAAGCAUAUCAAUAAGCGGAGGA
rnacentral:misc_RNA from 1 species